rnacentral:ncRNA from 1 species
CCGCGCCCCUUACGGGGCGCGGUGCCGCUGACCCCGGUACCUGAUACGGCCGGGGCAG